CGCAGCAGGUGCUCACAAUACUGCGUGAAGAUGGCACGGUUGCUUGCUCUAGCGUUUCUCGCUCGCAUGUGGAUCAUCGUUUUAUCUUACACUCAGUGUCCAAAUGAUACUUCACCCGAUGGAUGGCACUCGCUUGACCCAAGCCCGUAUUACAAGGACAUGGCCUAUUUUGCUGCAGCCUCUCAGAAGGGCAGAGGACGGACACAUUACGACACCGUGGUGAAGCUCCUUGCGGUCUGCGCGCAGGAAAGCUCUACUUACUCCCGAUACAACCUGACAUCAAUCAAUGCGGAAUCAGUGUGCAAGAUAGGAGGUACCUUCAAUCAAAAGAAGUGCGUACCACAACGGGGAAAGGUGCGCUGGUUAUGCCAUUCGACAGUAAGUUAUAGCCAUCGCAUUGCAGUCGAAGCCUACGAUUGCGGUUGCAAGGACCGUUCCUUUGUUGCUUAGUACACCGUAUACUGCGUACUGUUCGUACUUCGUGUACUUCGUUCGUGUACUUUUCGUCUGUAUACAGUUGAAAAGCAGGCCGUCAUAAAUAAAGUCGUCUGGCAGUCGCCAAAGUCG